ensembl:lincRNA 1600002D24Rik RIKEN cDNA 1600002D24 gene
GCUCUACACAUUCAGGCCAUUCUGGGAAGAAACCUCGUGUUGCUACACAGAAGACCAGGCAGGGUCUCCUGGAAGAGCGGAAGCUCAUGAUGAUGUUUACAGCUUCCAAUCUAUCAGGGUGAAGGCGGGAAGCCCUCACGGCCUUCCAGACCUGCCACUGCUUUUUGCCAUGAUGUGCUCACCAAGGCUCAUGCAUCUGACACUUGCUCUUAAGCACGGUGGUUUGAGGUCCUCCAGAGGUGGAAGUCUGAAUAAAACCAGGUCCUCUCUACCCUUUGGCUUCCUGCCUCACCAUGGCAACUCUUCCUCUCAUUUGUAGUUUCAUCAUUGUGUGACACAAAGGACCUUCCUGAGACACUAUGUCCCUUAAUACCCGAGACUAUGAGCUAAAUAAACCUCUUUUUUCUUUACAAUGU